GGUUUAUUCUGGUAUACCUCGGCAAGUGCGUUGGGGUAGAGCUCCGAAUAGAACGGCUUGCCGUUUGGAUCGUACCCAUAGGGAAACCA
rnacentral:tRNA from 1 species